rnacentral:lncRNA from 1 species
GUAUAAACUCCACUACCUCCCUUGACCCAAGUAAAGAUAGGCAAGAAAAGAAAGUAUAUAAACAUCAAGAAGAAUUUGUCUCUUUUCAAUAUGAAAUUAAAAAUAUAACAAACUUUUAAAAAUCUUUGAAGGAAAGAAAAAUUUUGAAUUUGCCCUUCCAAAACUCUAACACUCUAACAAUAUGCCUGUAUCACCCUUCAUGGUCUCUCAUUUACGAUCGAAGCUCUUGUUUGAGUUGAAUCCAGGAUGGAACUUUGAAAGGAAUAAGAGAAGGCAAGGCCGCCCUUCUUUGUUCUCAUGUUCCAACCCUAAGACU